rnacentral:rRNA from 1 species
AGAGUUUGAUCCUGGCUCAGAAAGAACGCUGGCGGCAUGCUUAACACAUGCAAGUUGAACGAACAGUAGCAAUACUGUGAGUAGCAAACGGGUGAGUAAUACGUAGGAAUUUACCCUGUAGUACGGGACAACAGUUGGAAACGACUGCUAAUACCGUAUACGCUCUUCGGAGGAAAGAUUUAUCGCUAUAGGAUAAGCCUGCGCUAAAUUAGAUUGUUGGUAGGGUAAUGGCCUACCAAGUCGAUGAUUUAUAGCUGGUCUGAGAGGACGAUCAGCCACACUGGGACUGCGACACGGCCCAGACUCCUACGGGAGGCAGCAGUGAGGAAUAUUGGACAAUGGGCGCAAGCCUGAUCCAGCAAUGCCGCGUGAAUGAUGAAGGCCUUAGGGUUGUAAAAUUCUUUCGGUGGGGAAGAAACUGACGGUACCCACAGAAGAAGCUCCGGCUAACUCCGUGCCAGCAGCCGCGGUAAUACGGGGGGAGCUAGCGUUUUUCGGAAUUACUGGGCGUAAAGGGUGCGUAGGCGGUCAAUAAAGUUGAGAGUGAAAUCCCCGGGCUUAACCUGGGAACUGCUUUCAAAACUCAUUGACUAGAGAAUGAUAGAGGAUAGCAGAAUUCCUAGUGUAGAGGUGAAAUUCUUAGAUAUUAGGAGGAAUACCGGUGGCGAAGGCGGCUAUCUGGGUCAUUACUGACGCUGAGGCACGAAAGCGUGGGGAGCAAACAGGAUUAGAUACCCUGGUAGUCCACGCUGUAAACGAUGAGUGUUAGGUGUCGGGGUCGCAAGACUUCGGUGCCGCAGCUAACGCGUUAAACACUCCGCCUGGGGAGUAAGAUCGCAAGAUUAAAACUCAAAGGAAUUGACGGGGACCUGCACAAGUGGUGGAACAUGCGGUUUAAUUCGAUCUACGCGAAGAACCUUACCAACUCUUGACAUGGUGGUCGCGGGGUGCAGAAAUGUACUCCUUCAGCUAGGCUGGACCACACACAGGUGUUGCAUGGCCGUCGUCAGCUCGUGUUGUGAGAUGUUAGGUUAAGUCCUGCAACGAGCGCAACCCUUAUUCUUAUUUGCCAGCGGGUAAUGCCGGGAACUAUAAGGAAACUGCCAGCGAUAAGCUGGAGGAAGGUGGGGACGAAGUCAGGUCAGCAUGGCCCUUAUGGGUUGGGCUACACGCGUGUUACAAUGAUGACUACAAAGGGACGCAAAAGGGCGACCUCAAGCUAAUCCCAAAAAAAGUUAUCUUAGUGCGGAUUGCACCCUGCAACUCGGGUGCAUGAAGUUGGAAUCACUAGUAAUCGCAGAUCAGCACGCUGCGGUGAAUACGUUCACAGGUCUUGUACACACUGCCCGUCAAGCCAUGGAAGUUGACUUUAUCUGAAAUUGGUGAGCUAACCUUCGGGAAGCAGCCACUUAUGGUAGAGUUGAUGACUGGGGUUAAGUCGUAACAAGGUA